CCAAUCAACUUGAAACUUAGUACACUUGUUGCUUAUGAGAUGAUCUUUCUAAUUUUUAAGCCAAAUUAGACUUUUGACCCCAAUUUCACGGUCCACUGAACAUAGAAAUGAAAGUGGGAGUUUCAGGUUAAAGUUUUUCGUCAAGGUAGUUUUUGAUGAAGCUGAAGUCCAAUCAACUUGAAACUUAGUACACUUGUUGCUUAUGAUAUGAUCUUUCUAAUUUUGAUGCCAAAUUAGACAAUUACCCAAUUUCACGGUCCAUGGAACAUGGAAAAUGAUAGUGCGAGUGGGGCAUCCGUGUACUUUGAACACAUUCUUGUU
rnacentral:lncRNA from 1 species